rnacentral:rRNA from 1 species
UACGUAGGGCGCAAGCGUUGUCCGGAAUUAUUGGGCGUAAAGAGCUCGUAGGCGGUUUGUCGCGUCUGCUGUGAAAACCUAAGGCUCAACCUUGGGCUUGCAGUGGGUACGGGCAGACUAGAGUGCGGUAGGGGUGACUGGAAUUCCUGGUGUAGCGGUGGAAGUGCGCAGAUAUCAGGAGGAACACCGAUGGCGAAGGCAGGUCUCUGGG